AGAACGAACGCUGGCGGCAGGCCUAAAACAUGCAAGUCGAACGCUCUAGCAAUAGAGAGUGGCGCACGGGUGCGUAACAUGUGGGAAUAUGCCUUUUGGUACGGAACAACUUUUGGAAACGAAAGCUAAUACCGUAUGGUCCCUUCGGGGUAAAGAUUUAUCGCCAAAAGAGUAGCCCGCACUGGAUUAGCUAGUUGGUAAGGUAAUGGCUUACCAAGGCGACGAUCCAUAGCUGGUCUGAGAGGACGAUCAGCCACACUGGGACUGAGACACGGCCCAGACUCCUACGGGAGGCAGCAGUUAGGAAUCUUGGACAAUGGACGCAAGUCUGAUCCAGCCAUGCCGCGUGAGUGAUGAAGGCCUUCGGGUUGUAAAGCUCUUUAGCCGACGAAUAUAAUGACUGUAGUCGGAGAAUAACGCCCGGCUAACUUCGCGCCAGCAGCCGC
rnacentral:rRNA from 1 species